rnacentral:rRNA from 1 species
GAUGAACGCUGACAGAAUGCUUAACACAUGCAAGUCUUUGGCGAAGCUGUGCUUGCACCGCCUAGCCAAGGCGGACGGGUGAGUAACGCGUAAGGAACUUGCCCUGCAGUCAGGGAUAACAGACGGAAACGACUGAUAAGACCUGGUAAAGUCAGGCGGACUCAUGUCCAGCCUGAUGAAAAGUGAUGCUGCAGGAGAGCCUUGCGUCCUAUUAGCUUGUUGGUGGGGUAACGGCCCACCAAGGCGAUGAUAGGUAGCCGGCCUGAGAGGGUGGACGGCCACAAGGGGACUGAGAUACGGCCCUUACUCCUACGGGAGGCAGCAGUGGGGAAUAUUGGACAAUGGGGGCAACCCUGAUCCAGCAAUUCUGUGUGCACGAUGAAGGUUUUCGGAGUGUAAAGUGCUUUCAGCAGGGAAGAAAAAAAUGACGGUACCUGCAGAAGAAGCGACGGCUAAAUACGUG